rnacentral:tRNA from 1 species
GCAGCGGUAGUAGAAUACCGGCCUGUCACGCCGGGGGUCGCGGGUUCGAGUCCCGUCCGCUGCGCCA